UGGGGAAUAUUGGACAAUGGGCGAAAGCCUGAUCCAGCAACGCCGCGUGAGGGAUGAAUGCCUUCGGGUUGUAAACCUCUUUCAGCGGGGACGAAGCGAAAGUGACGGUACCCGCAGAAGAAGGACCGGCCAACUACGUGCCAGCAGCCGCGGUAAUACGUAGGGUCCGAGCGUUGUCCGGAAUUAUUGGGCGUAAAGGGCUCGUAGGCGGUUUGUCACGUCGGGAGUGAAAACACGGGGCUUAACUCCGUGCCUGCUUCCGAUACGGGCAGACUAGAGGUAUGCAGGGGAGAACGGAAUUCCUGGUGUAGCGGUGAAAUGCGCAGAUAUCAGGAGGAACACCGGUGGCGAAGGCGGUUCUCUGGGCAUUACCUGACGCUGAGGAGCGAAAGUGUGGGGAGCGAACAGG
rnacentral:rRNA from 1 species